UACGUAGGGGGCAAGCGUUGUCCGGAUUUAUUGGGCGUAAAGAGCGUGUAGGCGGCCAAGCAGGUCCGCUGUGAAAACUCGAGGCUCAACCUCGAGACGUCGAUGGAAACCAUCUAGCUAGAGUCCGGAAGAGGAGAGUGGAAUUCCUGGUGUAGCGGUGAAAUGCGCAGAUAUCAGGAAGAACACCCGUGGCGAAGGCGGCUCUCUGGUACGUGACUGACGCUGAGACGCGAAAGCGUGGGGAGCGAACAGG
rnacentral:rRNA from 1 species